rnacentral:rRNA from 1 species
GCUGACCUAACAACAAACCACAAAUAUACCUACACAGAAUUAAACAAAUCAUUUGACCAACCUAGUAGAUGCGAUCGAACAGUCACAAGUCACACCAAGUACCGUAAGGAAACACCAUUAAGCAAUAAAUAGCAAAGACUGACCCUUGUACCUUUUGCAUCAUGGUUUAGCAAGCCCCCCCCCCGAAACCGAACGAGCUAUUUUUAAGCAGUCUAACGGACGCACCCUUCUAUGUAGCAAAAUAGUGGGAAGACUUAAAAAUAGAGGUGAAACGCCUACCGAGUCCGGAGAUAGCUGGCUACCCCAAACAGAAUCUUAGUUCUACUUUAGAACAACACUUAAUCAAUUAAUCAUCUAAAGGCAGUCAAUAGAGGUACAGCUCUAUUGACCCAGGAUACAACCUGAAUUUGCAAGAAACUUACCACCACCCACCCGUAGGCCCUCAAGCAGCCACCCAAAAAAAUAUCGUCAAAGAAUUAACCUAAACUAAACCCAACACCCACUAAGAACUUCAAAUUAACUAAAGGUGAAUCUACACAAGUAGAUAUCAUUAUGCUAAAACUAAUAAUAAGACCCCCCCCUCUCUUUACGCACCUCUCCGCUAUAAACAGAAAAACUACUGGCAAUUAACAGACCACAAAAGGCAAACAAUAAACCCAUGCCCAUUUUAAAACCCACUGUGACCCCGACACAGGAGCGCAAAAAAGAAAGAUUAACUAUUAUAAAAGGAACUCGGCAACCAAGGGCUCCAACUGUUUAACAAAAACAUAACCUUUAGCCAAACAAGUAUUAAAGCAACGCCUGCCCAGUGAAAAAUUUAACGGCCGCGGUACCCUAACCGUGCAAAGGUAGCAUAAUCAUUUGUCUAUUAAUUGUAGACCAGUAUGAAAGGCAAAAUGAGAGCCCAACUGUCUCUUAUAAUAAAUCAAUUAAACUGAUCUCCUAGUACAAAAGCUAGAAUACUAACAUAAGACCAGAAGACCCUGUGAAGCUUUAACUAACCUAUUAAACCUAGUAAUAACUACUUUCGGUUGGGGCGACCUUGGAAUAAAAAAGAACUUCCAACAUAUGAAUUCUCAUAAAAUUAGGCAAACAAGCCAACACCAGACCCAGCACAGCUGACAAUUGAAACAAGUUACUCCAGGGAUAACAGCGCUAUCUUCUUCAAGAGCCCAUAUCAAAAAGAAGGUUUACGACCUCGAUGUUGGAUCAGGACAUCCCCGUAAUGCAGCCUUUACAAGGUUCGUUUGUUCAACGAUUAACAGUCC